UUUUUUUUUUUUUUUUUUUUUUUUGAGUUUCCCGCUCUUGUUGCCCAGGCUGGAGUGCAAUGGCACAAUCUUGGCUCACUGCAAGCUCUGCCUCCUGGGUUCAGGCGAUUCUCCCACCUCGGCCUCCCGAAUAGCUGGGAUUACAGGCAUGCGCCACCAUGCCCGGCUAACUUUGUAUUUUUAGUAGAGACGGGGUUGCUCCAUGUUGGUCAGGCUGGUCUCAAACUCUCAACCUCAGGUGAUUCGCCUGCCUUGGCCUCCCAAAGUGCUGGAAUUACAGGCAUGAGCCACCGCACUGGCAUGACCAUCUUUUUGUAAGCUGCCCAAAGUGCAUAUUUACUAACUGAUAUAUAGGUUUCUGGUCUGGUAUAGUCUGAUGAGGAAUUAUGCAACUCUGACAUUAAGUUACCUGGCCAACAUGCAAGUUUUUCUUUUAUAUUGAACCCAUGGAUAGAUUAAGAACUUAAUAAUCAUUUUAUAACUUUAAUAAAAUAAAUAUUUUUGCUAUUAGUAGGAAAAAGGCAUUAUAAAAAUGUUUAAGCCAGUUUUUUUCCUAAAUAUACAAAAUAUCUGAUUCCAUUCAAACAGAUUUUGUUAAAAAGCUAGUCUUAGUACAAAAGCAAUUCAACUUAGCAUACAGGAAAAAGAUUUGUGAACAAGAUGCUUGUGAAAAUAGUUGAUGAUUUACAAAUCUAGACUCUGUAUAUUAUUUUAUGUGCACUGCUAGCUCUAUUUACAAACAGCUUUAUGUUUCAGUCACUUAUUUUAUAUCCUAUAAAAACUACAAAAUGCAAGGGAUAUCAGACUAUUCUUCACAUAGCUCUGGUUAGUCACAGAAUGACUAUUAUUAUAGGACCAAAACAAAUGUAUAAAAAUGUUUUCUGCAUCAUCAACAUGCAUGGAUGGUAAAAAUUAUAAUACAGGCUAUUAAAGCCAUAAUGCAUGUUCAAGAAGUGAUGGACAAAAUCUGUUUUAUUUUUUUAAGCUGUUAAUAUGAUGAUCUGCGUUGCUUAUGGCCAUCUUUGCAAAUGUUGCUUUGGUAGACAUCUUUAUAGUGGGAGACGAUGAGGUUGAUUCACCAGUAGGAAAACAUAAACUCCUAUAUUAUUUUUUUCCAACUGUGGCAAUGGUUUUGUUUUUCAUUUUUGUUUUUGAGACAGAGACGCGCUCUGUUGCCCAGGCUGGAGUGCGGUGGCAUGAUCUCGGUUCACUGCAACCUCGGCCUCCUGGGCUCAAGUGAUCCUCCCACCUCAGCCUCUUGAGUAGCUGGGACUACAGGUGCACACCAUCACACCCAGCUGACUUUUCUAUAUUUUGUAGAGAUGGGGUUUGCCAUGUUGCCCAGGCUGGCCUCAAACUCCCAGACUCAAGGGAUCCUCCUGCCUUGGCCUCCCAAAGUGCUGGGAUUAUAGGUGUGGGCCACCAUAUCCAGCUAGCAAUUGUUUUAUAAUAAGUUGUAUUCUCCUGUUUCCUCUAUGACUGGCUAAAAGUUCAUUCACAGUGUUGCUAGCUGAGGCAAGGGCAAAAUCUGUGUCCAUGGAACAGUCUACAGUGAUAUGCUCAAUUGGCAACCGAACCUACAGCCUUGGUUUCCUAGUAAUAGCCAUUCAACAACUGAGUUAGGUAGGAACAAAUGAAACAUACAUAUCGGAAUGAACACGUGCCCAUGUUUCUUCUGGUUAAUUAUGAAAUUAAGAAGGAUUUGAGCCUGCUGUGUUUUUAUACAGAUCAAAAUGAGAAUACAGAUGACUAAACGGAAGUGGACUUCUAUGGAUUUAAUUCAUUCUUAUUUUAAAUUGUUUUUUUAUAUUGCAGAGAUGGGGUCUCACGAUGCUGCCCAGGCUAGAAUGCAGUGGCUUUUCGCAGGCACAAUCAUAGCAUAUUACUGCCUCAAACUUCUGGGCUCAAGCCUCGGCAUCCCCAGUAGCUGAGAAUACAGGCAUGUACCACUGUACUCAGCUUUGUGGAUUUAAUGCAUAUACAAGGUUAGAAAUUCAAUAAGCUGCUUAUGAUGAUGGAGGCCAUGUUUCUCCAGCCAGCUACUCUGAUAUAUGGACAGUGCCUAGCACAAUGCCUGACAAAGAUGGUAUCCCACAAAAUAUGUUGGAGGCUUCAUGAACAUACAUUGAGAUUGACUGCAG